GCGAGCGUGCGGGGCGCGGGGCGGUGCGGCGCCCGCCUCUGCUCGGCUCCCGGCUCUCCCCUCCUGCGCCCCGCCCCCGCCUCCCAGCGCCGCUCCCCGCCCCGAGCUCGCCGCCGGCGCCCCCGCUGCCCCGCGCGCGCCAGAGGGGGCCGCGGAGAGCUCGCGCCGAGGCGACGGGGCGGGGCCCGGCCCUCCAGCCCCAGGCGACCGAGCGGGUGCGGGGAGACUCCCGCGGCGCGCACGGGGCUGGGGGGGGCGGGGGCCCGGCCCGGCUCGGCUCGGCUCGGCUCGCCCAGCCUGGUGACCGGCGCGCCGGCCGCGGUGGCCGCGGGCUCCGGGGGAGGGUGACAGCGAGGGCGAGGACGGCCCCGUGCGGAGGCAGCCGCCGACUUUGCCCCCGGCCGACAGGCCCCCCGGGGGUGUCACGUCCGUGGGUGGCCCGGGGCCAGGGUCUGGGACUGUGCGGGCUACAGAGACUGGGGGUGGGAGGAGCCCCUGGGUACUCCGAGGACGAGGUAGCAGCCUGGCUCCGAGAGGAGAUGAUUCCCCUCGGUCCUAAAGGCCUCCCCAAGGCUCCUGCAAGGUUUUGAGGUUCAAAGGACCCACUUUACAGGUCUGGCAUCUGUUCGAGUACUGACCAGCCAGCUCUCCAGGUGAAACCAGGUACUGAAGAAAUACUCAGUGAUUCAUAAUUGUUGAAAAAACCACAUUGGACUGUGAGAUCAAAAAACAGAUGUCUCUGAAGAAAGAGGGUAAUUUGAAAGAAAUGGAACAAUUCAUAAUGUGGAUGUGGAAGUGGAGGGGAACAGCACAAAGACAUGGAAGGAAUAGCAAAAUGAAAUGUUUAACAAGUAAUGGAAAGCAGGAAUAUUACAAUAGUAGACUGCUUUGGGCAGUCGACUGGAUGGGUCCUUCCUGGCCUGCGACCUUGUCAUUGGUUCAGCAAUGUCUGCUUGUGUCUACUACUGGGCAGGUCAUAGCAGGAAUUCUGUCACUUUGUUUGGACUCCUGGCCAGGCAUGCAUCUCCACCUGCCCCCUCAACUGCCUUACCACCGGCUGCGUGGCCAUGCCACCCACAGGCAGGUUUGUCUCCAACAUCUCCACUCCCAGAACACAAAAUCGGGGCCAUGACCUUCUUUUAAGAAGGGAAUCUCCUUGGUUUUAGAUGCGGGGCGGGCGGGGGGGGGGGGGGGGGAAUAUUGGGGGUGGGUUAAAAAAUAAAUGCCUCCAAGAGAAAAGGGUCCA
rnacentral:lncRNA from 12 species